rnacentral:rRNA from 1 species
CCUACGGGUGGCAGCAGUGAGGAAUAUUGCUCAAUGGAGGAGAGUCUGAACCAGCCAAGCAGCGUGAAGGAUGACUUCCCUAUGGGUUGUAAACUUCUUUUAUAUGGGAAUAAAACAGGGUAUGCAUACCCUCUUGUAUGUACCAUAUGAAUAAGGAUCGGCUAACUCCGUGCCAGCAGCCGCGGUAAUACGGAGGAUCCGAGCGUUAUCCGGAUUUAUUGGGUGUAAAGGGAGCGUAGGUGGAUUGUUAAGUCAGUUGUGAAAGUUUGCGGCUGAACCGUGAAAUUGCAGUUGAAACUGGCAGUCUGGAGUGCUGGAGAGGUGGGCGGAAUUCGUGGUGUAGCGGUGAAAUGCGUAGAUAUCACGAAGAACACCGAUGGCGAAGGCAGCUCACUGGACUGCAACUGACACUGAGGCUCGAAAGUGUGGGGAUCAAACAGGAUUAGAUACCCGAGUAGUC